rnacentral:rRNA from 1 species
ACAACGCUGGCGGCAGGCUAACACAUGCAGUCGAACGGGAUCUUCGGAUCUAGUGGCGGACGGGUUAGUAACGCGUGGGAACGUACCCUUUUCUACGGAAUAGCCUCGGGAAACUGAGAGUAAUACCGUAUACGCCCUUCGGGGGAAAGAUUUAUCGGAGAAGGAUCGGCCCGCGUAAGAUUAGAUAGUUGAGUGGGGUAAUGGCCUACCAAGUCUACGAUCUUUACACUGGUUUGAGAGGAUGAUCAGCAACACUGGGACUGAGACACGGCCCACAAUCCUACGGGAGGCAGCAGUGGGGAAUCUUACACAAUGGGGGAAACCCUGAUCUAAGCCAUGCCGCGUGAGAUUGACGAAGUGCCUUAGGGUCGUAAAGCUCUUUCAGCUGGGGAAGAUAAUGACUGUACCCAGUAAAGAAACCCCGGCUAACUCCGUGCCAGCAGACGCGGUAAUACGGAGAGGGGUUAGCGUCGUUCGGAAUUACUGGUGCGUAAAGCGCGCGUAGUGCGGACUGGAAAGUCGGGGGUGAAAUCCCGGGGCUCAACCCCGGAACGGCUCCAAAAAUAUCAGUCUAGAGUUCGAGACGACGGUGACGUGGAAUUCCGAGUGUAGAGGUGAAAUUCGUAGAUAUUCGGAGGAACACCAG